GCGCCCAUCGUCUAGCGGUCAGGACACCGCCCACUCACGACGGGACCAAGGUUCGAUUCCCCUUGGGCGUACCA
rnacentral:tRNA from 1 species